UGCAUGCCCUCAUCUUGUUCCAGGCAACUGCUGUACCUAGCCUGUCCGUUUUACUGCUGUUGCCCUUGCUGCUGUCGGCGUAGGCGAUGUGCCUCGCCCAUCGGGUAGCCUGGAUCAACAUAUGUAGGGCCGACGGCCCUUGACGCGCUGCUGUUUUUGUUCUCCUGACAAUUACUGUGGACGAGUGCGUGCGUGUGGAGAGUGUGUUAAGUGACGCGCGGUGCGCGCUUGGAACUCUCGUGUGGAGAGAGUGUUUGGUGACACGCGUGGUUGCGCGCUGACACUCAGUGGAGUGUGUGUGAAUGUGAUGUGUGGGUCCUAGUCCUCUUUUGUUUGAUUGAUUUACGUUUGAUUCGUUUCUUAUUGUAUUGAUGUAUUGUGUGUUGGCCGUGUCGGGUACACCACACACCUGUAACUGGUCAGUAGGACUACCCUACAGUAGUUUCUCACGUGCAGUGCUCAGGCCUUAUGCCGAGUGUAACUUUGUGUGCUGUGUUAAUGAUUUACUUCCAUGCAUGCUUAUAUUCAACUAGAUGUGCUUGCUGUGCUAAUUGUGUGUUACAUCGUGUUAACUUGUACUGAAGCUACUCAGGGGAAGCCUAAGCCAACUCAUUAUUGUGUGGUUACCUGUCCCGCGCCAAUGUACGUUUUGUUUAUUUUUUUGUGGUCCUAAAUAACAUUUGUAUUUUAUACCUCCUGACGUAUUAAAAAGAGAAAGUAAUUGUU